rnacentral:rRNA from 1 species
CCGUAGGUGAACCUGCGGAAGGAUCAUUAAAGAGUUAGGGUCUCACAGGCCCGAACCUCCAACCCUUUGUCGUUAUAACUACCUCGUUGCUUUGGCGGGACCGCUCGGUCUCGAGCUGCCGGUCUUCGGCCCGGCAAGUGCCCGCCAGAGUCUACUCAAACUCUUGUUUUAACCGGUCGUCUGAGUAAAAAUUUUGAAUUAAAUCAAAACUUUCAACAACGGAUCUCUUGGUUCUCGCAUCGAUGAAGAACGCAGCGAAAUGCGAUAAGUAAUGUGAAUUGCAGAAUUCAGUGAAUCAUCGAAUCUUUGAACGCACAUUGCGCUCCCUGGUAUUCCGGGGAGCAUGCCUGUUCGAGCGUCAUUACACCACUCAAGCUCUGCUUGGUAUUAGGCCAUCGUCCUCCGAGAGGUGGGCGUGCCUCAAACACCUCGGCGGAGCCUCACCGGCUUUGGGCGUAGUAGAAUUUCUCAACGUUCAAGUCUCGGUAGGCCUCCUUUGCCGCUAAAAACCCAAUUUUUACAGGUUGACCUCGGAUCAGGUAGGGAUACCCGCUGAACUUAAGCAUAUCAAUAAGCGGAGGA